CAACGGUGAUGCCGGAAUCUCCUUCCUUGAUUGUACAAUGUACACAAGGUAUGUUUUCAGUUUGACUAACACUUAUUCAGAUGUUGCCUUGUUAGCCAUUUUGUUACUGGAUCUUUUAGCAUAAUCAGUUGUCAUAUAAUUCUAGUUUAUAUCAGAAUAAUCAGUUGUCAUAUUUUCCUAAUCCUUUAUGUUUGAACUUUUAAGCUUAAGUAAAAUGAAUUUCUAUCCUACCAUAAUAUGUUCAAUAUCAGAGACCUUUAGGGGGUCUUUCCUCAAGUGGCACGAACCGAGACAUGUGAUGAUAUUCUUCAACAGGUCAUUUUUCUAUUUGGUUAUACCGGGUUAGUGUAUAACUAUUUUGAUUUGGUGACUAUUUUGAUUUAUUUCUCAUUUAGUUUCAUUUGGAUUUGUGGGUUUCGUGCAGGUUGAUGACCCUCGACUUAUUCAAAGAAUUUCAAUUGCAGCAUCAGGCAGGCGGUAGCUACAAAGACUAAGACGCCUCAUGAUGCAUGUGAUAGACUGAUGUGGUACAAGAGAAGCAAAGAUUGAUUGAUUUUGCAGAAGCACUUCGUAGUAAUGUAGUAUCACUCAUAGUUUUCUUAUAAGUGGGUGUUCAAUGAUCCCACAACAUUAACAGAGGAGGAGCUGUAUGAUUUGCGAAACCGCUGGGCAACUUGUUUCCUUGACCUAUAUAAUCUUGAGGUAGAUUAUGAUGAUGCCGAUGAGAAAGCUUAGGAGCUAGCUAGGUUUGUGUGAAGUUACAAUGAAUUAGUAUUAAUUAUGAUGAUGUUUUGAUUUGUAUUUUGGAUGGAUUAGUAUUAAUUAUGAUGAUGUUUUGAUUUGUAUUUUGGAUUUCAAUGAUUGUACUUCAAUGACAUUAUUACUAUAUAUAUGUUGAAUGUUGAAUUUG